rnacentral:ncRNA from 1 species
CCUUUGAUGUUGGCUUUUCCUGUCACCACAAAACCGAAUUCACCAAGUGUUGGCUGGUUUACCCAUUAAAAAAUGAACACAAGCUGGAUUUAGACUGCCAUGAGACAAGUU